GACGAACGCUGGCGGCGUGCUUAACAUAUGCAAGUCGAGCGGUAAGGCUCCUUCGGGAGUACACGAGCGGCGAACGGGUGAGUAACACGUGAGCAACCUGCCCUUCUCAUCGGAAUAAGCGUUGGAAACGACGUCUAAUGCCGAAUAUGACAACGGAUCGCAUGAUCUGUUGUGGAAAGCUCCGGCGGAGAAGGAUGGGCUCGCGGCCUAUCAGCUUGUUGGUGGGGUAACGGCCCACCAAGGCGACGACGGGUAGCCGGCCUGAGAGGGUGACCGGCCACACUGGGACUGAGACACGGCCCAGACUCCUACGGGAGGCAGCAGUGGGGAAUAUUGGACAAUGGGCGCAAGCCUGAUCCAGCAACGCCGCGUGAGGGAUGACGGCCUUCGGGUUGUAAACCUCUUUCAGCAGGGACGAAGCGAAAGUGACGGUACCUGCAGAAGAAGGACCGGCCAACUACGUGCCAGCCGCCGCGGUAAGAC
rnacentral:rRNA from 1 species